rnacentral:rRNA from 1 species
UACGUAGGGUCCAAGCGUUAUCCGGAAUCACUGGGCGUAAAGCGUCCGCAGCCGGCGCGUUAAGUGAGGUGUUAAAUCGUGUGGCUCAACCAUAUCGAUGCAUCUCAUACUGGCGUGCUAGAGGGAAGCAGAGGCAAGUGGAAUUACGAGUGUAGCAGUGAAAUGCGUAGAUAUUCGUAGGAACACCAAUGGCGAAGGCAGCUUGCUGGGCUUCUUCUGACGGUCAUGGACGAAAGCGUGGGGAGCGAACAGG